AAAAUUCAAAUUGUUACUUGCUUGAACAUAUCGAUUUAUACUGGAUUGUUCGGAAAGUAAUUUCGUCUUUUCACACGAGUGUCGCUAGUCGAACGUUUAUCCAGCCAACUUCGUUCUAAACCGUUUUGUUUAGAAAAUAAUUUCGUUUUUUCGCACGAGUGUCGCUAGUCGAACGUUUAUUCAGCCAACUUCAUUCCAGAGUAGAAAUCAUUGGGUUGUUCGGAAAGUAAUUUCGUUUCUUCGCACGAGUGUCGCUAGUCGAACGUUUAUCCAGCCAACUUCAUUUUAGACCGUGUUGUUAUAUAUUUUGAGAAUUGGCAUUUCAUGAUUUAUGUAUAAGAAAAAUUCGCUUGAUUCUGUACGGUUGUGUUUUUCGUGUGCGACAAAGACAAGAUGCAAGACCAAAAGGAGCAUUUUCGAUAUAUUUUACUUUUUUAUUAUGCGUGAAACUACUCGGUGUUUCGUUGUCGUAAAAAAAAACGAAAUUAUCUCGAAAAAUUCAAUCUCGUUCGAUCGAAAGAAAGAGUGAAGGUAAAGUUGGAAAGAGGGGGGAAUGGUCCCAUCUUUCCUCUCGAUGAAUAUGGGUCGCGCGAAGCGUAUCAACGAUUUACUAUCCCGCGAUUUUCUUUCAUCUGGAUUACGAGAUGUGCGUUGCACGUUGCGCGCUAUGCGUUACCUGCG